UGAGCCUACGGGGGGCAGCAGUGAGGAAUAUUGGUCAAUGGGCGCGAGCCUGAACCAGCCAAGUCGCGUGAGGGAUGACGGUCCUACGGAUUGUAAACCUCUUUUGCCGGGGAGCAAGCGUGCGUUCGUGAACGCGCGUCGAGAGUACCCGGAGAAAAAGCAUCGGCUAACUCCGUGCCAGCAGCCGCGGUAAUACGGAGGAUGCGAGCGUUAUCCGGAUUUAUUGGGUUUAAAGGGUGCGUAGAUGGGUUGUUAAGUCAGUUGUGAAAGUUUGCGGCUCAACCGUAAAAUUGCAAUUGAUACUG
rnacentral:rRNA from 1 species